rnacentral:rRNA from 1 species
UACGGGGGGUGCGAGCGUUGUCCGGAUUUAUUGGGCGUAAAGAGCUCGUAGGCGGCUUGUUGCGUCGACUGUGAAAACCCGCAGCUUAACUGCGGGCCUGCAGUUGAUACGGGCAGGCUAGAGUUCGGUAGGGGAGACUGGAAUUCCUGGUGUAGCGGUGAAAUGCGUAGAUAUCUGGAGGAACACCGGUGGCGAAGGCGGCAUCCUGGACCGACACUGACGCUGAGGAGCGAAAGCCAGGGGAGCAAACGGG